rnacentral:lncRNA from 1 species
CAACGAGGUGCUAGUCGGAUACCACAUGGUCAACAUGUGGUAUAUGGCUUAGCCAUAUAAGCAGCUCUUCAGCACAGAAGCGAAAUUCUCCAAGGAACUUUUAUAAAGAGCUUCUGAGGCAGAAAGAAAAUAUUAAAGUUUACAGUUCCAGAGCUAGUCAUCCAAGUCCAGACGACUGUGACGGCUCGGGGUGCAGUGGAUGACUCUGACACCUUCGAUGUCUGGCCAAGCUCUGGGAACUCCACGGAGCUGCUUCAUCUGCCUUCCUGGCGCUGAUUGGCCAACCUCCAGGAUCCUCCCGGCUCUGGCUAGGAAUCUUCUGGCCAAGAUGACAGUCGGGCUCCCUCUCCUGGUAGCAGCGGUAUGCAGCCUGCACGGUAGAAAGGCCC